rnacentral:rRNA from 1 species
CAGAGCCGCGGUAAUACNUANGUGGCAAGCGUUGUCCGGAAUUACUGGGUGUAAAGGGAGCGUANGCGGGGAGACAAGUUGAAUGUUUAAACUAUCGGCUCAACUGAUAGUCGCGUUCAAAACUAUCACUCUUGAGUGCAGUAGAGGUAGGCGGAAUUCCUAGUGUAGCGGUGAAAUGCGUAGAUAUUANGAGGAACACCAGUGGCGAANGCGGCCUACCGGGCUGUAACUGACGCUGAGGCUCGAAAGCGUGGGUAGCAAACAGGAUUAGAUACCCUGGUAGUCCACGCCGUAAACGAUGAUUACUAGGUGUGGGGGGACUGACCCCUCCCGUGCCGGAGUUAACACAAUAAGUAAUCCACCUGGGGAGU